UAGGGAAUCUUCGGCAAUGGGGGGAACCCUGACCGAGCAACGCCGCGUGAGUGAAGAAGGUUUUCGGAUCGUAAAGCUCUGUUGUUAAGGAAGAACGAGUGUGAGAAUGGAAAGUUCAUGCUGUGACGGUACUUAACCAGAAAGGGACGGCUAACUACGUGCCAGCAGCCGCGGUAAUACGUAGGUCCCGAGCGUUGUCCGGAUUUAUUGGGCGUAAAGCGAGCGCAGGCGGUUAGAAAAGUCUGAAGUGAAAGGCAGUGGCUCAACCAUUGUAGGCUUUGGAAACUGUUUAGCUUGAGUGCGGAAGGGGAGAGUGGAAUUCCAUGUGUAGCGGUGAAAUGCGUAGAUAUAUGGAGGAACACCGGUGGCGAAAGCGGCUCUCUGGUCUGUAACUGACGCUGAGGCUCGAAAGCGUGGGGAGCGAACAGG
rnacentral:rRNA from 1 species